CCCUUAGAUGUUCUGGGCUGCACGCGCGCUACACUGAUGCGCUCAACGAGUUUUCGAACUUGCCCGGAAGGGUUGGUUAAUCUUUUUAAAACGCAUCGUGAUGGGGAUAGAUUAUUGCAAUUAUUAAUCUUCAACGAGGAAUUCCUAGUAAGCGCGAGUCAUCAGCUCGUGCUGAUUACGUCCCUGCCCUUUGUACACACCGCCCGUCGCUCCUACCGGUUGAGUGAUCCGGUGAAUAAUUCGGACUGCAGUCGUGUUCAGUUCCUGAACGUGGCAGCGGAAAGUUUAGUGAACCUUAUCACUUAGAGGAAGGAGAAGUCGUAACA
rnacentral:rRNA from 1 species